GGCACUUUCAGACAUACAGGCACAAAAUAUUCCCAUAAUGCAUCCCGGUUUCCUCCCCUCUGCCCUGGAGAUAAUUGAGAAGUAAUUCAAUUAUCUCCCAGGACACAGGCAAAUCGCCAUUUUAAGUAAGACAGGCAAAACACAUAAAAAUAAACAAUUACCCAUCUACCGAACAUAUUAUAUUCGUGUAACACAUCCACAGAUAGCCUGGAUCUGAGUGCAUAUUCUUAGCGAAUAGCGCUCAGAUCCCAUACGUACAGUUCAAUCGCCAUGGAGUCAAAGUCUUUUACAGUCUUUCGGUAUGCUAUCUGGGUUCAGUUCAUUCGUAUAAUCCAAACUCCCGAACGGCCGGUGCUCGCAUGCCUUGUCGACUAAGAAGGGCGGUCUGUGGUUUCAGCGGUGUUCGGCAGAAAAAGUGUCCGUUUUUAGUUCCUUUCGCAUGGUUUAAAAUGGCCGCCGCCUCGUGGUCGACAUACGACUGACGACCACCCGGCAUUCGGUUGUAUUUAAGAGGAGUCUGCG